rnacentral:rRNA from 1 species
GACGAACGCUGGCGGCGUGCUUAACACAUGCAAGUCGAACGGAAAGGCCCUGCUUGCAGGGUACUCGAGUGGCGAACGGGUGAGUAACACGUGGGUGAUCUGCCCUGCACUUCGGGAUAAGCCUGGGAAACUGGGUCUAAUACCGGAUAUGACCUUCCAUGUAGUGUGGGGGGUGGAAAGAUUUAUCGGUGUGGGAUGAGCCCGCGGCCUAUCAGCUUGUUGGUGGGGUAAUGGCCUACCAAGGCGUCGACGGGUAGCCGGCCUGAGAGGGUGGACGGCCACAUUGGGACUGAGAUACGGCCCAGACUCCUACGGGAGGCAGCAGUGGGGAAUAUUGCACAAUGGGCGGAAGCCUUAUGCAGCGACGCCGCGUGGGGGAUGACGGCCUGGGGUUGUAAACCUCUUUCGACAGGGACGAAGCUUCGGUGACGGUACCUGUAUAAGAAGCACCGGCUAACUACGUG